rnacentral:rRNA from 1 species
AUACGGAGGGUGCAAGCGUUAAUCGGAAUUACUGGGCGUAAAGCGUACGUAGGCGGUUCGUUAAGUUAGAUGUGAAAGCCCCGGGCUUAACCUGGGAACUGCAUUUAAAACUGGCGAACUAGAGUUGAGUAGAGGGGAGUGGAAUUUCAGGUGUAGCGGUGAAAUGCGUAGAGAUCUGAAGGAACACCAGUGGCGAAGGCGACUCCCUGGACUCGAACUGACGCUGAGGUACGAAAGUGUGGGUAGCAAACGGAAUUAGAAACCCUAGUAGUCC